rnacentral:rRNA from 1 species
UAUACAGCGAAACUGCGAAUGGCUCAUUAUAUAAGUUAUCGUUUAUUUGAUAGUGCCUUACUACUUGGAUAACCGUGGUAAUUCUAGAGCUAAUACAUGCUAAAAACCCCGACUUCGGAAGGGGUGUAUUUAUUAGAUACAAAACCAAUGCCCUUCGGGGCUCUUUGGUGAUUCAUGAUAACUAUACGAAUCGCACGGCCUUGCGCCGGCGAUGGUUCAUUCAAAUUUCUUCCCUAUCAACUUUCGAUGUUUGGGUAUUGGCCAAACAUGGUUGCAACGGGUAACGGAGGGUUAGGGCUCGACCCCGGAGAAGGAGCCUGAGAAACGGCUACUACAUCCAAGGAAGGCAGCAGGCGCGCAAAUUACCCAAUCCCGACUCGGGGAGGUAGUGACAAUAAAUACUGAUACAGGGCCCUUUCGGGCCUUGUAAUUGGAAUGAGUACAAUUUAAAUCCCUUAACGAGGAACGAUUGGAGGGCAAGUCUGGUGCCAGCAGCCGCGGUAAUUCCAGCUCCAAUAGCGUAUAU